rfam:Hordeum vulgare subsp. vulgare, WGS project CAJW01000000 data, contig: morex_contig_1622707
UAUAUACUCCAUCCAUCCGGAAAUACUUGUCCUAGAAGUGGAUGUAUCUUGACUUAUUUUAGUUAUAGAUACAUCCAUUAUAUCCAUUUCUAGGUCAAGUAUUUCCGGGUAGAGGGAGUAUAUG